AUCCUCGUCAUUUACUGUGAGCAAAAUAGAGUGUUCAAAGCAGGCUUAUGCCGUU
rnacentral:rRNA from 14 species